rnacentral:rRNA from 1 species
GACGAACGCUGGCGGCGUGCUUAACACAUGCAAGUCGAACGGUGAAGCGCCUUCCUUUUUGGUGGGUGUGGUUGAGUGGCGAACGGGUGAGUAACACGUGAGAAACCUGCCCCCUCCUUCUGGAUAACCGCAUGAAAUGGUGGCUAAUCCGGGAUUUCCUGGGUUUGUCGCAUGAUGGGUCUGGGAAAGAUAUUGUUUCGGUGGGGGAUGGGCUCGGGGCCUAUCAGCUUGUUGGUGGGGUGAUGGCCUACCAAGGCGGUGACGGGUAGCCGGCCUGAGAGGGUGGACGGUCACACUGGGACUGAGACACGGCCCAGACUCCUACGGGAGGCAGCAGUGGGGAAUAUUGCACAAUGGGCGCAAGCCUGAUGCAGCGACGCCGCGUGAGGGAUGGAGGCCUUCGGGUUGUGAACCUCUUUCGCCAGUGAAGCAGGCCUGCCUCGUUUGUGGGUGGGUUGACGGUAGCUGGAUAAGAAGCGCCGGCUAACUACGUG